rnacentral:rRNA from 1 species
UACGUAGGGUGCAAGCGUUAAUCGGAAUUACUGGGCGUAAAGCGUGCGCAGGCGGUUUUGUAAGACAGAGGUGAAAUCCCCGGGCUUAACCUGGGAACUGCCUUUGUGACUGCAAGGCUUGAGUGCGGCAGAGGGGGAUGGAAUUCCGCGUGUAGCAGUGAAAUGCGUAGAUAUGUGGAGGAACACCGAUGGCGAAGGCAGCCCCCUGGGUCAAAACUGACGCUCAU